CUAGGAGCUCAAAGGGGAACUCAAAUUGGCUUGGAAGGACCCAAUUCCAUCACCCCACCCCAUCCACAUAAAGGACCAUGUCCUCUUGCUCACCAUCUUUACAAAACUUCCAGCAGGCCAUAGGGUUUGACAUGGAUCAAGCACAGCUCUGUGACUCAGGUUCAGGGAAGAGGUGGGUAGGAGAGACAUGGAACUGGUGAAGGAAGACAGGAAAGGAAAUGUUUCAAGGGUAAUAUCUGGGGGAAUGAAGGUGAGUGGAAUGAGAUUAUAGAUGAGAGGCAGGAAAAGGGAAACAAACAGGAGCAGAUAGAGAAAAGGCAAUGGGAGAAGAGCAAAGGUCUUUGCUUCCCCAAUUUGCUCGUUAUUCCCAUACCAUCUGAGCUCAUUUUCACCACCUCCUAAAAGUACUCUUUGAAAAAAGGAAAUUAGCUGUGUAUGUUGGAUUUUGGUGUGGUGGUGGUAUUUUCCCUCCUAUAGCAUGCAACACACCACAGUAUAGGGAGUUUUCUUGUUUGUUGGACCCCAUUUGCAUUAUAUCCAGGCAUGCACACAGCCAAAGAAAUCAUUAAGCAUUACUGGAAAUGAGAAAAAGGCAUUUCCCUGUAUUGAUUAUGUAAUUCAUCUUAUAAGGUGGGGGAAAGGGAAGUUGCAGGGCAUCAUAUGUGAUUUAAGUAGCUCGAAAGGUUAGACAAAUCAUGAGCAGGAAUUCAUUAACUUCUUUGAACAAUGAGUGUUCCAAGCAAGAAAAUCAAAGGAGAUAUUAGACACAAAGAAACUAUUUGCCUUGGCAGUGCAAGUAAAGCGACAAAGAUAAUUCUCAAAGCCAAUGGUAAUGAUGCUUUCUUCGGAAAUGAACUGGAUGCUAUCUUCAACAGAAGGCGCACAGUGCUGAUUUCUUCUUUAGUUAAAAGAGGAGGGGGAGGAGAACAAAUGUUAGCAAAAAACCCAACAACAACUACCCAAAUACAUUUUUAGCAUCAUUCCAGGCUCUGGAGAUAUGUAUUAAAGUUCUGUUUAGGUCUAGGCAGUACACAAAAGGGGUUUGGGGGGACUUAGUGAAAGACGAACAGCCAGUGUUACAGUUGAAACUAAUUAAGAUAAAGAUGGUCUGAAAAUAGGUCUUAUAAAUAUUCUUUUGGCUUUUGAUAUGCCAGUGACUGGGACAAAAUAUGUCACUUUCUGGCAUUGCUUUAAUUGAAAUAUUUGGCCAUUACCCACAAAGAAAUGAAAGAGCCUCAGAAAUGCAAGGGUCUGGGUUCCAACACAUACCCAGCAUACCUAUUUUAUUUUAUUUUAUUUUAUUUUAUUUUAUUUUAUUUUAGUGAGUGUUAAGCAGAUUUACUCCUUAGCUGUGGCACUUCAGUGGAUGAUUAUGACAUCAAAGUGUGACAGACAGUGAUUAUGUUCUGCAGGGGGAGAAGGAGGAUAAAAACAGACAAUUAAUUCCCAUUGCUUAAAGGGACAUUAUCUUGGGAUUGUGCUUUUUUUAAAAAACAAUAAUAUUCUGAAUCCUUAAAGAAAAUGAAGAAGAAGUAAUUUAUCUGUCCUGCCUUGUUUCAAGAUUUUUAGAAUUAAGCUUCUUUCUUCUGGAAAUGACUUUUAAUUUGUCUUUUGACUUCAGUUUUUUUUUAUGUAAUGAAUUUUGUUUUUCUCUUUCAGAACUUUACUUAAAUCAGCCCCUGGAAUAUUUUUCAUUCAGGGAUUUCAGCACUUUGUGCUUUUCUGCAUACCUAUCACUUGCUUUCCUUUUACUUAGUCCGUGUACAAUUCUGUCCUCCUUCAUAUGAUCUUUCUAGAAGAAAUCUAUAGCCAUUUUAUUAAAAGAAAUCAGAUACUAUUUUAUUAAUUUAAAACUUUUCUUUUAUGCUCUUCAUUGCAAAAUGCAUUUCCUGAGAAAUGAACAUCAAAUCUGGAUAUAUAAUACAAGUAGCAAAAACAAGGCAGGUAAUCACUACCAGUGAACUAAAUGAACAUUGACACUGGCACACUAAAUUCUUCCCAAAGCCUAUGCAAAUAACUUUGUCUUCAGCUGGUUUCAAAGGGUUAAAAGUGUAGGUGCCAGCCAUUAUUUCAAAGGACAUGCAGUUCCAGAGUUAGGGUGCCACCACUGAGAAGGCUAUCCUUCACAUUAAUGUAUUGUCAGUCUUGGCAGAGCUAUAAAAACCGGACAAUCUUUUGUUUGUUUUGUUUUGUUUUGUUUUUAAGGCAUACUCUCUGGUAUCCAAGCCCAAAACUUUUUAGACCUUUCUGCGUCAACACAAAUACCAUGAAGCAGGCUCAGUAACAUAUACACAGCCACUGCAGUUCUUUCAGAACUGGUGUAAUAUGUUCAUGGCAGACACUCCUCAGAGAAACCUAGCUAGCUGCCACAUUCUGCACUAGUUGUAGCUUCCAAGCUGACUUCAAGGGCAACCCCAUGCAGAAUGGAUUACAAUAGUCCAGUCUUGAGGUUACCAAUGAAGAAAUCAUUGCAUCAACAUUCUACCUGUCCAGGAACAAUUGUACCUGGCAAACCAGCUGGACUGUUUAUAGGCUUUCCUUGCCAUGGAUGCCUCUUGAAACUCCAGUGACAAUGCUGGCUCUAUGAGCAGCCACAUACUGUAGAUGUUCCUUCAGAGGAAGUGCAAGCCCAUUCACAACAGUUAACCUUUCCAUUCCUGGAUCUGGGAAACCUCUUCCUUAUCAGGAUUCAGCUUCAACCUUUUGGCUCUCAUCCAGCCCACUACUGAAUCUAAGCACUAGUCCAAGAAGAACAUUUUAUAAAGCGAUAGAUAUAGUUAGUGACAAUGGUUUCAGGCCAGAGUAAUCCAUCCACAAAUAGAAAGAUUCCUUAUGUUUGUAAAAGCGUACUGCAAUCUAGCAGAACCACCCACUCACAGAACAGGGAGAGGAAUUGAUUUCUUAUUUUUCUGUCUGCCUUCAAUCUGCCCUAUGCCAUGUCUCACACUGUUCCAGAGAAUUCUUCCAACCCACCAGACAACAUUUCCUGGGCUGCAGGAAAAAUUCAGACUCUUCACUGAGUAGAACUGUAAUCACAGAAUCUCUGUAUUCAAUGCAUAAUGUACAUCUAAGUAACAAAUGAAAUUCUGAGUCAGGUUGUUGUGGCUCACAAAAAUAUUAAUACCAAUUCUGUUUAUCCAGUGUCUCCCCAAGCUACCAUCACUUUUUAAGAAAUAACAAAUGCAAUCUUACAAUUAAACAAUGCCAGAUGUUAAAUUGAAAGCAUUUAUUUGGUUUUUAAUCAGAUAAUACAGUCACUUUGUCCCAUAAUAGGUACAACUUUAACUUGGGGAAUUUCCUUGGAGGAACAGCCUUGUUCUGAUGCCAUUUAUAUGACUACUGAGUGCUAGACAUCAAACAUGUACAGUUUACAAACAUGUAAACAUUUAUCUUUAUUUAUCUUUGGGCCAAAUUGAAAAGAGAGAAAUAGGAAUACAAUAAGCCUCCAAUAUUAAAUUCUCUCUAAUGGUAGAAAGAGGUGGGAAGAUUUAUUUAAAAGAAAACCCAGAACUUUGCACAAUUGUAUCAUAAGUAACUAUUGUAUGCAACAUGCAGGUUUUCAUCCAUUAUAGCUAAAUGAAUGGAUGAAAAAUGUGCUAAUUGUUUUCGGCAGUGUUUUUACAGAUGUCUUUAACUAGAGCAAUCUUUAUAUAGAAGAAAAAGAACCAUCAACAGUAGCACCUGAUAUAGCUACCACAAGGGAUUAUUUUUAUCAUUUUUGUGUUGACGUUUUCAUGUUUUUCAGAAAGACACAAUCUUCAAAGAAGAUUGGACUUAGGCAGGAAAGAGGAACUAUUGAUCAUUGUCUUGUGCUUGAUCAUUUGAUCCCUAAAUAUGCCUCUGGCUCUAAAAAGUUUUUAUUCUCAGCUCUUGUUGACUUAUCGCCGGCUUUUGAUUCUGUAUAUCAUGAUCAGUUAUGGGCAAAAUGGCAAUCUAACAUUGACAGGUGUCUCCUGAUUCAUAUUAGGGGCUUGUACAAGACGGGUCCCAAUGCUCAACUUACAAAGGAGAUUUCUGUUACAAGAGGUGUUUGCUAAUUGUCUAUUUGGUUUCUAGAUAACAACGCUAUUGAGGCG